rnacentral:snRNA from 1 species
AUUCUUGUUCUGAGACACAUUUCACAACCAAUGAGGUUUUUACCGACGGUGUGAUGUUGCUGAUUGCAAGCUUACUAGCGAUACUGUGACGCUGGAAACAGCAGAUCGAAUAUUUGACGCCCCUUGGGGG